rnacentral:rRNA from 1 species
GAUGGCCAGGCUGUCUCCACCCGAGACUCAGUGAAAUUGAACUCGCUGUGAAGAUGCAGUGUACCCGCGGCAAGACGGAAAGACCCCGUGAACCUUUACUAUAGCUUGACACUGAACAUUGAGCCUUGAUGUGUAGGAUAGGUGGGAGGCUUUGAAGUGUGGACGCCAGUCUGCAUGGAGCCGACCUUGAAAUACCACCCUUUAAUGUUUGAUGUUCUAACGUGGACCCGUGAUCCGGGUUGCGGACAGUGUCUGGUGGGUAGUUUGACUGGGGCGGUCUCCUCCUAAAGAGUAACGGAGGAGCACGAAGGUUGGCUAAUCCUGGUCGGACAUCAGGAGGUUAGUGCAAUGGCAUAAGCCAGCUUGACUGCGAGCGUGACGGCGCGAGCAGGUGCGAAAGCAGGUCAUAGUGAUCCGGUGGUUCUGAAUGGAAGGGCCAUCGCUCAACGGAUAAAAGGUACUCCGGGGAUAACAGGCUGAUACCGCCCAAGAGUUCAUAUCGACGGCGGUGUUUGGCACCUCGAUGUCGGCUCAUCACAUCCUGGGGCUGAAGUAGGUCCCAAGGGUAUGGCUGUUCGCCAUUUAAAGUGGUACGCGAGCUGGGUUUAGAACGUCGUGAGACAGUUCGGUCCCUAUCUGCCGUGGGCGCUGGAGAACUGAGGGGGGCUGCUCCUAGUACGAGAGGACCGGAGUGGACGCAUCACUGGUGUUCGGGUUGUCAUGCCAAUGGCACUGCCCGGUAGCUAAAUGCGGAAGAGAUAAGUGCUGAAAGCAUCUAAGCACGAAACUUGCCCCGAGAUGAGUUCUCCCUGAGACUUAGAGUCUCCUGAAGGAACGUUGAAGACGACGACGUUGAUAGGCCGGGUGUGUAAGCGCAGCGAUGCGUUGAGCUAACCGGUACUAAUGAACCGUGAGGCUUAACCUUACA